rnacentral:lncRNA from 1 species
AUGAUGGGACAAAAACUGAACAAUUGCACCAAGAAGCCGAUUUUAAGCAAAGAUCUUAACUCAGGUGCUUUUCAGAAGCAUAGCUUUUGUGGUUCAACAGCUGCUUCUCAGGGCAUCAUCUCUUCAGCUGUUCCUCUCAGUACACAAGACCAGCAGGAUGAUGAUUCACUAGCUGCUAAUGCACAAAUUCAGCAAAGUGACAGCUGUCUGACUCUUUCACCUCCCACCCCACAAGGUCAGCAGGAGUGCUUCAAGCCCACUUCUUCUAAGAUGGAGUCUCAUCUCAUCAGAAGCUCACCAGUGGCCUCUCCCAACCAGGGUUGCGGACAGGAUCUCAGGAAUUCAGACAAGGAAUGACAGAAGGUAUUUCAUAUCAGUUCAAAUUCUCAGCGGAGAUUAAGAAGAAGUAUAAAAUAAAAAAGACAUAAUAUCUAAAUGGGCCUAGCAACAGUGGACAUAUAUACUGCAAGCAGAAUAGAAGCCUGAGAACCAUUUUCUCAAACAAAUGAAAAUCCCACAACCUAGAAAAAAAUGAAGGCAUAUUAGUAUCUUUGGCUUUAAGAUAUUAUUAAAUAUAUGCAUGUUAUGCAGUAAUUCAAAAAAUGUAAACUUUUUCUGAAGAAUAUAAGUAGAGUUCCCCUUAGUUAUAAAAAGUUAUUAUUUAAAGUAAUACCAAAAGAAUGUGUAAGAGGAACCUUAAGCCCCUUGAUUUCACCUUGACAGCUGAUGGAAAACUGCUUUACCAAUCAGAGACAGCUAUUGGAUAUUAUUAAUACAAAAAAGAUAUAGAGGUAUGAAAAGAGAAUAGAAAAAUUUCUUAGUGAGAUGAAGACUAUGGCCAGCACAGAGUCAAGUGAGCAAAAAAGAAGAAAUAAAAUAGAUAUUUAAGGAUGCUGUUACCUUGGAAAGAAGAAAACAUUCUUAGGGCAAUGAAACUGCAGCUCUCAAGAUGUCUGCAGGAAAGAAGCAGUUCAUUUUUAACCUCUGGAAGUUGGAAAGGCAAUGAAAGAAGCCAUGUUCUCUCUUAGCUCAGGAAAGAGUUCUCCAGGAUAGCCUGUUUGGUUUUGGAGGCCAUAGCUUCUUUCAUAGGCCUUCUGCUGCUGUUACUCUGCUGGUUUGGCAGCUCUCACUCUCUCUUCUUCCCUGAACAUCAUGUCCAUAGGAUAAGAGUGCCUGAUCCCUCCAGUCAGGAAAUGGAGGACAGUCUCUUGGAAGUGAUCAGUAAAGGGCAGAGUUGCCAGCCUCUACUCCCUGUGUUUCGAUUGUGGUAUGCUACCUCUUGCUUAGAGAGAGGGUGGACAGGUGGACAUUCCUCAUGGAACUGGGACCAGAAAAAUCCCAGUAACUGGGCAGUUCCUGUUGAGAUGUGACACCACUUGUCCCAGGGAGCAGCUGGCAGUCACACACCCUGUAACUGCCUGAGGAGGAGGGAAGGUACUUUUUUCCUCGCUGGCUGAUACCAGCUUUACAGGAUGCUGGUAGCAUGGGAAGGAGAGAACACUUGGAUUAUAGCUUUCAUGCUUGAGUGUCCUUCUCCCAGAACAGAGAGUACUAGCAGUUAGAACUAUUUCAUACAUGGCAAACAAGCAACUAAGGAAUCAAGAUGAAAAAAAAACCAACACAAAGUUGAAGAAACCUAGCUUGAUUUGAGGAGGAUUUCUAUAACUCAGGAGAUCUGAGUUACAGAAAUAAAUUAGAAAUAGUGUUACAGUGAAUGCUGGGCAAAAAAUCUGAAGAUAAGGUUAGCAGCCAAAUACCUCUAAAGGGAAGUGCUGCAAACCUAACUGUACUAGAACAAUGCACUAAUAAAAUGCACUGUGGAGAAGACUUUUGUGUGGGCUGGGAUAUGAAUUAAGUGAUCUGCUAGCCUUUUCCAUCUCUCAUGUCUAUCAAUUCCUUGUAGAUAGAGUCAGGAUGAAAGCAGGUAUGAAAUAUGAUGUAAGUUCUAGCUCAUGUUCUUAACUACCAUCUUUAAAAUGUAACAGAAGGGUGUUUGCUAUUAUGUACAUUUUGUAUAUGUAAUUGUGUGUACAGCAUAUAAGAAUGUAUAUAAUUAAUCAUAUUUUUGAAGCAACUUUCUAUCAAAAAAAAUGAAAC